rfam:Nicotiana sylvestris Nsyl_contig96998, whole genome shotgun sequence.
AAGAGAAGAGCAUGUCAAGAUAGCCAAGGAAACUCUGCCUGAAACCAAGCAAAAAAGGCUACCAAUAUUAAAUGGUGUAUUCAAACACCUUUUAAAAUAAUGGAGCAGGCAAGUCAUCUUUGGCUACUUAACAAUAUGACUCUCCUCU